CAGUCGCCGCGGUAAUACGUAGGGUGCAAGCAUUAAUCGGAAUUACUGGGCGUAAAGCGUGCGCAGGCGGUUAGAUAAGCCAGAUGUGAAAUCCCCGAGCUCAACUUGGGAACUGCGUUUGGAACUGUUUAACUAGAGUGCGUCAGAGGGGGGUGGAAUUCCGCGUGUAGCAGUGAAAUGCGUAGAGAUGCGGAGGAACACCGAUGGCGAAGGCAGCCCCCUGGACCUGUACUGACGCUCAUGCACGAAAGCGUGGGGAGCAAACAGGAUUAGAUACCCCUGUAGUCCCUGUCUCUUAUAC
rnacentral:rRNA from 1 species